GAGGGAGCUUGCUCCCUGAUUCAGCGGCGGACGGGUGAGUAAUGCCUAGGAAUCUGCCUGGUAGUGGGGGACAACGUUUCGAAAGGAACGCUAAUACCGCAUACGUCCUACGGGAGAAAGCAGGGGACCUUCGGGCCUUGCGCUAUCAGAUGAGCCUAGGUCGGAUUAGCUAGUUGGUGAGGUAAUGGCUCACCAAGGCGACGAUCCGUAACUGGUCUGAGAGGAUGAUCAGUCACACUGGAACUGAGACACGGUCCAGACUCCUACGGGAGGCAGCAGUGGGGAAUAUUGGACAAUGGGCGAAAGCCUGAUCCAGCCAUGCCGCGUGUGUGAAGAAGGUCUUCGGAUUGUAAAGCACUUUAAGUUGGGAGGAAGGGUUGCUGAUUAAUACUCUGCAAUUUUGACGUUACCGACAGAAUAAGCACCGGCUAACUCUGUGCCAGCAGCCGCGGUAAUACAGAGGGUGCAAGCGUUAAUCGGAAUUACUGGGCGUAAAGCGCGCGUAGGUGGUUUGUUAAGUUGGAUGUGAAAGCCCCGGGCUCAACCUGGGAACUGCAUCCAAAACUGGCAAGCUAGAGUAGGGCAGAGGGUGGUGGAAUUUCCUGUGUAGCGGUGAAAUGCGUAGAUAUAGGAAGGAACACCAGUGGCGAAGGCGACCACCUGGGCUCAUACUGACACUGAGGUGCGAAAGCGUGGGGAGCAAAC
rnacentral:rRNA from 1 species